GUGGGAGAAAGAAAAUAGGUGUGUGUUUGAUUAGUUAGGGGUACAAUGGUACUUUACCUAUUAAAAUUUUAAUGGUAAAACUAGACCCUGAUCCGUGCGCCAGCGCGGAUAUGAAUUUUCAGUUUUUAAUUAUUUAUUUUAUUAAAUAAUGUAUUUGUAAUAUUCGUUUAUAUUAUAUUCAUUAAGUAAAUAUUUUUUUUUUGCAUCUUAAACUAUCUAUUUCUUUACAAAUGUGUGAUAUCAUAUAAA
rnacentral:lncRNA from 1 species